rfam:Syntrophaceae bacterium CG2_30_58_14 cg2_3.0_scaffold_3057_c, whole genome shotgun sequence.
UAUCCCCUGCGAUGUGCGUGAUUAACGUUCGUUUUUUGAGCCAACACCUUGGAACCGGGGACCUUUCCUUGUUCGCCGUGUGCAUGUCCGCCGGCAUUCCGCGGGAGCGGGUGGCGGAAAGCCUGAAGCGGCAACAUUAGGCGCCCAUUUUUCAAAUGGUUCAAAAAGGUGGUUAACACGGCAUCGGCGGGGGUUUU